rnacentral:rRNA from 1 species
UACAGAGGGUGCAAGCGUUAAUCGGAAUUACUGGGCGUAAAGCGCACGUAGGUGGGUCCAUAAGUUUGAUGUGAAAGCCCUGGGCUUAACCUGGGAAUGGCGUUGAAGACUGUGGGUCUAGAGUCGGGCAGAGGGUUGUGGAAUUUCCGGUGUAGCGGUGAAAUGCGUAGAGAUCGGAAAGAACACCAGUGGCGAAGGCGACAGCCUGGGCCCAGACUGACACUGAGGGGCGAAAGCGUGGGGAGCAAACAGG